UACGAAGGGUGCAAACGUUGCUCGGAAUUAUUGGGCGUAAAGCGCACGUAGGCGGCUUAGCAAGUCGGAAGUGAAAUCCCACGGCUCAACCAUGGAAGUGCUUUCGAAACUGCUGAGCUUGAGUACGAAAGAGGAUCGCGGAAUUCCCGGUGUAGAGGUGAAAUUCGUAGAUAUCGGGAGGAACACCAGUGGCGAAGGCGGCGAUCUGGGUCGAUACUGACGCUGAGGUGCGAAAGCGUGGGGAGCAACAGGGAUUAAGAUACCCGG
rnacentral:rRNA from 1 species